rnacentral:rRNA from 1 species
GACGAACGCUGGCGGCGUGCUUAACACAUGCAAGUCGAACGGAAAGGCCCUGCUUUUGUGGGGUGCUCGAGUGGCGAACGGGUGAGUAACACGUGAGUAACCUGUCCUUGACUUUGGGAUAACUUCAGGAAACUGGGGCUAAUACCGGAUAGGACCUCUUGCUGCAUGGUGGUGGAUGGAAAGUUUCGGCGGUUGGGGAUGGUCUCGCGGCUUAUCAGCUUGUUGGUGGGGUAGUGGCUUACCAAGGCUUCGACGGGUAGCCGGCCUGAGAGGGUGACCGGCCACAUUGGGACUGAGAUACGGCCCAGACUGCAACGGGAGGCAGCAGUGGGGAAUAUUGCACAAUGGGCGGAAGCCUGAUGCAGCAACGCCGCGUGCGGGAUGACGGCCUUCGGGUUGUAAACCGCUUUCGCCUGUGACGAAGCGUGAGUGACGGUAAUGGGUAAAGAAGCACCGGCUAACUACGUG